rnacentral:rRNA from 1 species
AACGGAAAGGCCCUGCUUGCAGGGUACUCGAGUGGCGAACGGGUGAGUAACACGUGGGUGAUCUGCCCUGCACUUCGGGAUAAGCUUGGGAAACUGGGUCUAAUACCGGAUAGGAGCCAUCUUUAGUGUGGUGGUUGGAAAGUUUUUUCGGUGUAGGAUGAGCUCGCGGCCUAUCAGCUUGUUGGUGGGGUAAUGGCCUACCAAGGCGGCGACGGGUAGCCGGCCUGAGAGGGUGUACGGCCACAUUGGGACUGAGAUACGGCCCAGACUCCUACGGGAGGCAGCAGUGGGGAAUAUUGCACAAUGGGCGCAAGCCUGAUGCAGCGACGCCGCGUGGGGGAUGAAGGCCUUCGGGUUGUAAACUCCUUUCGCUAGGGACGAAGCUUUGUUGUGACGGUACCUAGAUAAGAAGCACCGGCUAACUACGUGCCAGCAGCCGCGGUAAUACGUAGGGUGCGAGCGUUGUCCGGAAUUACUGGGCGUAAAGGGCUCGUAGGUGGUUUGUCGCGUCGUCUGUGAAAUUCUGGGGCUUAACUCCGGGCGUGCAGGCGAUACGGGCAUAACUUGAGUGCUGUAGGGGUAACUGGAAUUCCUGGUGUAGCGGUGAAAUGCGCAGAUAUCAGGAGGAACACCGAUGGCGAAGGCAGGUUACUGGGCAGUUACUGACGCUGAGGAGCGAAAGCAUGGGUAGCGAACAGGAUUAGAUACCCUGGU